rnacentral:rRNA from 1 species
AUUGAACGCUGGCGGCAUGCCUUACACAUGCAAGUCGAACGGUAACGGGCCUUCGGGCGCCGACGAGUGGCGAACGGGUGAGUAAUGCAUCGGAACGUACCUUUCAGUGGGGGAUAACGUAGCGAAAGUUACGCUAAUACCGCAUAUUCUGUGAGCAGGAAAGCAGGGGAUCGCAAGACCUUGCGCUGAUUGAGCGGCCGAUGUCAGAUUAGCUAGUUGGUGAGGUAAAGGCUCACCAAGGCGACGAUCUGUAGCGGGUCUGAGAGGAUGAUCCGCCACACUGGAACUGAGACACGGUCCAGACUCCUACGGGAGGCAGCAGUGGGGAAUUUUGGACAAUGGGGGCAACCCUGAUCCAGCCAUGCCGCGUGAGUGAAGAAGGCCUUCGGGUUGUAAAGCUCUUUCGGCCGGGAAGAAAUCGUAUGGGCUAAUACCCUGUGCGGAUGACGGUACCGGCAUAAGAAGCACCGGCUAACUACGUGCCAGCCGCCGCAGUAAUAC